GAUGAAGAAACGCAGCGAAAUGCGAUAAGUAAUGUGAAUUGCAGAAUUCAGUGAAUCAUCGAAUCUUUGAACGCACAUUGCGCCCGCCAGUAUUCUGGCGGGCAUGCCUGUUCGAGCGUCAUUUCAACCAUCAAGCCCCCGGCUUGUGUUGGGGACCUGCGGCUGCCGCAGGCCCUGAAAUGCAGUGGCGGGCUCGCUGUCACUCCGAGCGUAGUAGUUACAUCUCGCUCUGGGCGUGCUGCGGGUUCCGGCCGUUAAAAGCCUUAUUUACCCAAGGUUGACCUCGGAUCAGGUAGGAAGACCCGCUGAACUUAAGCAUAUCAAUAAGCGGAGGA
rnacentral:misc_RNA from 1 species